ensembl:lncRNA SEMA6A-AS1 SEMA6A antisense RNA 1
AGAAAUAAAGAUUCUGUGAUCCAACAAAUACCCUUGGUAAUAAAAGGCAGUCAAGGCAAUUCACCAUAAGGAAAGAGUGUACAAGACGGAAAAAUACAACAGAGAAAGAUAACAGGCCGACUCACGUGAAUAUAAAACGAGCGGGAAGGGCAGUUGGCUUAGAAAAUUCCCUUGCCAGCUACUGUGAGUGUGCAUGGGGGGAGGGGGUGGAAGGGGGUGGAAGGGCGUGGUAAGGGGUGGAGGAGUAGGGGCCUGUUUUGUAAAUUGCUGAAUAGGCAAGUUUCUUCAAACUUCAGUAGGCUGCCAGAAUCACCCUGCCCUUUAAUUUCAAGGCAGUUUUAUUGCAUUUGUUUAUUACUUGCUUGACUUUAUUGGUGGUGCUGUGGUCAGACUCAUUAUUGGAAUGGAAUUGCCUAUUACUUUGCUAUCAGGUUUGAGAUGACUCGAGGCUUUUCCUUGCCUGCCUCCCCUCAGAACUUAAGUUUGAGCUGAACAUAUGAAUUGUAAAUGAACAACUGAUUAAUAUGCAUUGGCAGCUCCUCAGAAAGCUCUCAGAUUGCCCCCUUUUGGCAUGGCCUGUUUAUGUUAAUUAGCAGUUUAGAGAUUAAAAAAGAAGAGGAAUUUACAAAGUGGAUAAUAAUAAAGCAGAAUUGAAAGGGGUUCUUGCCACCAACCCUCACUCAGUCCCCCGGGUUCUGGAUGGGACUUGGCUUGCGAUUGCUGACAGCAAUUGUCUAGAAGAACUGGGAAGCCUUUUAAACACAGAAUUCUGUGAAUGAAAU